rnacentral:rRNA from 1 species
CCUACGGGAGGCAGCAGUGGGGAAUAUUGCAUAAUGGGCGAAAGCCUGAUGCAGCCACGCCGCGUGAGCGAUGAAGGCCCUCGGGUCGUAAAGCUCUGUCCUCAAGGAGGAUACUGACGGUACUUGAGGAGGACGCCCCGGCUAACUACGUGCCAGCAGCCGCGGUAAUACGUAGGGGGCUAGCGUUAUCCGGAAUUACUGGGCGUAAAGGGUGCGUAGGUGGGUUCUUAAGUCAGAGGUAAAAGGCUACGGCUCAACCGUAGUAAGCCUUUGAAACUGGGAAACUUGAGUGCAGAAGAGGAGAGUGGAAUUCGUGGUGUAGCGGUGAAAUGCGUAGAUAUUAGGAGGAACACCAGUUGCGAAGGCAGCUCUCUGGAGUGUAACUGACACUGAGGCACGAAGGCGUGGGGAGCAAACAGGAUUAGAUACCCGAGUAGUC